UACGUAGGUGGCAAGCGUUGUCCGGAUUUACUGGGCGUAAAGGAUGCGUAGGCGGACAUUUUAAGUCAGAUGUGAAAAUACCCCGAGCUUAACUUGGGUGCUGCAUUUGAAACUGGGUGUCUAGAGUGCAGGAGAGGUAAGUGGAAUUCCUAGUGUAGCCGGGUGAAAAUGCGUAGAGAUUAGGAAGAACACCAGUGGCGAAGGCGACUUACUGGACUGUAACUGACGCUGAGGCAUGAAAGCGUGGGGAGCAAACAGG
rnacentral:rRNA from 1 species